GACGAACGCUGGCGGCGUGCUUAACACAUGCAAGUCGAACGGUAAGGCCCUUCGGGGUACACGAGUGGCGAACGGGUGAGUAACACGUGGGUGAUCUGCCCUGCACUUCGGGAUAAGCCUGGGAAACUGGGUUUAAUACCGGAUAGGACCACUGCCUGCAUGGGUGGUGGUGGAAAGCUUUCGCGGUGUGGGAUGGGCCCGCGGCCUAUCAGCUUGUUGGUGGGGUAAUGGCCUACCAAGGCGACGACGGGUAGCCGGCCUGAGAGGGUGACCGGUCACACUGGGACUGAGAUACGGCCCAGACUCCUACGGGAGGCAGCAGUGGGGAAUAUUGCACAAUGGGCGCAAGCCUGAUGCAGCGACGCCGCGUGAGGGAUGACGGCCUUCGGGUUGUAAACCUCUUUCAGCUAUGACGAAGCGCAAGUGACGGUAGUAGCAGAAGAAGGACCGGCCAACUACGUGCCAGCCGCCGCCGUAA
rnacentral:rRNA from 1 species